rnacentral:rRNA from 1 species
AUGAAGGAGUGGUGUCGUAUGGGCCGGCCCAUGCUCUCGUGGGUCAGGUCUCAGGAGCAUGUGGUUGAGUCUGCAUCCGGAGAAACGCUGCAGCAGCCGGAUGUCUCGCCAUCAAACAACUUGGUUGAUGUUACAACAUUGAAGGGAUUGUCCAUCACUGCCACGUCCUCGUCCUCUCAGCGCGGCACCAUUUGGGUCCGAUACCAGUGUGAUUGGGGGCUCACAUUUUACACCAGGAUCGAUCUUCAUGGAUAUUUCCACACAUAUCCUCAUGUGGGUGGGCCAUUUCAGAGCUUAGAGCAAGUUAACAAUGCCAUUGAUCGCUAUCUUCAUGACCGUCGGGAUCCAAUAAUGUGCGAGGAGCGACCUGAGUUCUAUGAAGUGGGUAAGGCUAGUGUUGAGAGGGGUAUACGGGACUCUCUUUUCUGGCCUGAUGGCUCAAAGAAGAUGUACGUGAAAUCUGAGCCGGUUGAUGAAAGCCGUUGCUGGAUGCUCCAGCUGGUUCAAGCUUUGGUGGACAAGUAUAACGAGGAUCACAAUCUUUUCAAGGAUCUUGCGUUUGAAGUUAAAGAUGUUGUGUGCUACGAAGUAAUAUAUGAGGGCAACUGCCUCUACUACCAUAUUAAUUUCACUACAAGGACCAAAGGAGCAAAGACCGCCGACAAUCUAUUCUUUUCUGAAGUCAAACGUAUGCCAGGAGAAGACAAAAAAUUGGUGGUCAGCUGUACCUGCAUGGUUGAUCCUUCUGAUAACGGUCAAUGCUACGGCUGUGAAAGUAAUAUGAAGCACCCCAAUGCUGAUGCAUAUGCUGGUGGUCACUCAAAGGUUUGCAACUUGAAGGGAGAAUGUCUUGGUCCUAAUAUAGCGGUCGCAGAGACUAUGGAUGACUGGAAGGCUGAGGAAGCGAGGGUAAGACAAAUGUUCAAGGGCCUUGACGAUCCAACUGUUGUGGCGCGACUCAUGGAACCACCCAAGUUGAACUUCGGAGCAACCAAGGCCACCGAUGAGGAAGUAGAACGUUUUAUGAAUUCGAUCAUGGGACCAUGCGAUCCUAACCUUUGCACCACUUAUGGCAUCCUCGAUGCUAGCGCCGUAGAAAGAUUUAGAGUGGCGCUAAUGUAA